rnacentral:rRNA from 1 species
AGUUUGAUCCUGGCUCAGGACGAACGCUGGCGGCGUGCCUAACACAUGCAAGUCGAACGGAACUGUUUUGAAAGAUUUCUUCGGAAUGAAUUUGAUUUAGUUUAGUGGCGGACGGGUGAGUAACGCGUGAGUAACCUGCCUUCAAGAGGGGGAUAACAUUCUGAAAAGAAUGCUAAUACCGCAUGACAUAUCGGAACCACAUGGUUCUGAUAUCAAAGAUUUUAUCGCUUGAAGAUGGACUCGCGUCCGAUUAGUUAGUUGGUGGGGUAACGGCCUACCAAGCCGACGAUCAGUAGCCGGACUGAGAGGUUGAUCGGCCACAUUGGGACUGAGACACGGCCCAGACUCCUACGGGAGGCAGCAGUGGGGAAUAUUGCACAAUGGGCGCAAGCCUGAUGCAGCAACGCCGCGUGAAGGAAGACGGUUUUCGGAUUGUAAACUUCUGUUCUUAGUGAAGAAUAAUGACGGUAGCUAAGGAGCAAGCCACGGCUAACUACGUGCCAGCAGCCGCGGUAAUACGUAGGUGGCAAGCGUUGUCCGGAAUUACUGGGUGUAAAGGGAGCGCAGGCGGGUGAUCAAGUCAGCUGUGAAAACUACGGGCUUAACCCGUAGACUGCAGUUGAAACUGUUCAUCUUGAGUGAAGUAGAGGUUGGCGGAAUUCCGAGUGUAGCGGUGAAAUGCGUAGAUAUUCGGAGGAACACCGGUGGCGAAGGCGGCCAACUGGGCUUUAACUGACGCUGAGGCUCGAAAGUGUGGGGAGCAAACAGGAUUAGAUACCCUGGUAGUCCACACUGUAAACGAUGAUUGCUAGGUGUGGGGGGUCUGACCCCUUCCGUGCCGGAGCUAACGCAAUAAGCAAUCCACCUGGGGAGUACGACCGCAAGGUUGAAACUCAAAUGAA